GAUCCUGGCUCAGGACGAACGCUGGCGGCGCGCCUAACACAUGCAAGUCGAACGGAGCUGAGAGAAGCUUGCUUUUCUCAGCUUAGUGGCGAACGGGUGAGUAACGCGUGAGUAACCUGCCCUGGAGUGGGGGACAACAGUUGGAAACAACUGCUAAUACCGCAUAAGCCCACGAUCCGGCAUCGGAUUGAGGGAAAAGGAUUUAUUCGCUUCAGGAUGGACUCGCGUCCAAUUAGCUAGUUGG
rnacentral:rRNA from 1 species